rnacentral:lncRNA from 1 species
GCAGCCGUAGCUCCAUUGGUGGCGGCAGAGGUGGGCCUGAGGGGGACACCUGGGACCAGGGGCCUGGUGAGCGUGCUGCCUGGCCAGCCUCGCCAGGCCAUCGCUCUGGGGUGUGAAAGAUGCCCAGGUGCACGUGACCCUGACUCCCGGGGACCUUGUCCCACGGGGGCCACCAAAGGCCUGGGGGCAGAGAUGGGAGGACAGGACCCUCCCAGCAGGACGCAGUGGGUGGCGGUCCUGCAGCCCCCGCGCAGCUGGUCACCUGGAGGGAGCCUGGCCUGACCGGCACCCCGUGUGUGAUCCCGCCGUCAGACAGCCCUCAGCCAGCUGCUCCUGGUUACGGGCAGGGUCAGUAGCAGUCACGUGACAGGCGUGCCCCACUGGCCCAGCGUGAGCUCUCUGUCCUCAGGGCUCCUUCAUGGCAGGGCUGGGGCAGGGGCCUUGUCACACCAGGAAGCUCACAAGGGCACCUCCGAGGGUGUGACCCCUCAGGGCCUAGCCACCCACGGCCCCACAGGGUCACCCAGAAUCACCCACGAUCACCCAGAAUCACUCAGAGUCACCUAGAGUCACCCAUGGUCACUCAGAGUCACCUCGAGUCUCCCAUAGUCACCCAGCAUUACCCAGAGUCACCUCGAGUCUCCCAUGGUCACUCAGAGUCACCUAGAGUCACCCAUGGUCAUCCAGCAUCACCCAGAGUCACCUCGAGUCUCCCAUGGUCACCCAGCAUCACCCAGAAGUCACCUAGAGUCCCCCAGUAUCGGGCGGCCAUGUCCACCUUUACCUUCGGGGCAUCUGGUCCACGGGGAAGGGGCGGCUGGCCUCCAUCGCUGAGGUUUUGUCCAAGUUCAUGGUCUGCCACCAGUAUGAGCAGUGAUACGGUGUUUGCCCAGGAAGCGCCUGCUUUGCUCCGAUAGCAGAGUGUUUGGAGGACAAAGCAGCCCCCACCUCCCACCCCGUGUAAGGACAGGGUGGUGGGAGCAGGUGGGGUGGGGUCCUGGGACAGGCAGGGCUCCUUAAAGGGCACUCAGACACCCCACGGAGGAACACAGAUAGGUCUGGUGUCACAGGUGACCUGCAGGGGGUCACAGCCCCACCUCUCUGUGACCCUGAGGCCUGGGGGGGAG